rnacentral:rRNA from 1 species
AAGCAGUGGGAGCCCCACCACCAAAGCAUUCUCUGGUGUUGAAGGCCCUGCAAAGCAGCAUCGCGGUGGCGGAGCGUCGUUUGCGACGCCCAACACACAAAACAAGCGGUGAGUGCUUUGGGGUGGGGUGACUGCGUACCUUUUGUAUAAUGGGUCAGCGACUUAUAUUCUGUAGCAAGGUUAACCGAAUAGGGGAGCCGGAGGGAAAC